AGAAAUUGAGGAUUGCAUGGUUGCUUGACGAUCGUGGAUCCACCUAUUGAUGAUCGCAUGUUGCUUGACGACUGUGGAUCCACCGAUUAAGGAUCGCGUGGAUCCACCAGUGGCUUUUAAACCCAAUAUAUGAUUAUUGAUGACUCUAUGUCGAUCUGUGUGCUGACUAUAUUACUGUCGCUGAUGGCUAUGUGCCUAACAUGAUACAGCUACC
rnacentral:lncRNA from 1 species